UAAGUCAUUGGUUAAUAUGCAUGACAAAAUGCAUGACGCGCAAGACGUAAUCAUCUUCUUUUAUUUGAAGUAACGUCUGUAUUGUUAUAAGAUAAGAUAAGAAGUAAUUCUUUUCCACAACAAUAUACUGUCAAAUUUCUAAAAAAAAUCCUUAGAGCCGUUUUCGAGAGGAUGGAAGUGGAGUCAGCAAUUUUAUUGCCCCUACCCCAUAACAAUGCAGGGCGGAAGUGGAGCCAGCACUUUAAUUGCCCAACACCAUACCAAUGCAUGGCGUAAGUGGAGCCAGCAGUUUAAGGCGCAACCCCCAUACUAAUGCUGGGUGGAAGUGGAGCCAGCAGUUUAAUUGCCCCAUACUUGUGCAGUGCG